UACGAAGGGGGCUAGCGUUGCUCGGAAUCACUGGGCGUAAAGCGCACGUAGGCGGCUUUUUAAGUCAGAGGUGAAAUCCUGGAGCUCAACUCCAGAACUGCCUUUGAUACUGAGAAGCUUGAGUCCGGGAGAGGUGAGUGGAACUGCGAGUGUAGAGGUGAAAUUCGUAGAUAUUAGGAAGAACACCAGUGGCGAAGGCGGCUCACUGGCUCGGUACUGACGCUGAGGCGCGAAAGCGUGGGGAGCAAACAGG
rnacentral:rRNA from 1 species